AACGAACGCUGGCGGCAUGCCUAACACAUGCAAGUCGAACGAGACCUUCGGGUCUAGUGGCGCACGGGUGCUUAACGCGUGGGAACCUGCCCUUAGGUUCGGAAUAACUCCCCGAAAGGGGUGCUCAUACCGGUUAAUGUCUUCGGUCCAAAGAUUUAUCGCCUUUGGAUGGGCCCGCGUUGGAUUAGCUAGUUGGUAGGGUAAAAGCCUACCAAGGCGACGAUCCAUAGCCGGUCUGGGAGGAUGAUCAGCCACACUGGGACUGAGACACGGCCCAGACUCCUACGGGAGGCAGCAGUGGGGAAUAUGGGAAAAUGGGCGAAAGCCUGAUCCAGCAAUGCCGCGUGAGUGAUGAAGGCCUUAGGGUUGUAAAGCUCUUUUACCCGGGAUGAUAAUGACAGUACCGGGAGAAUAAGCUCCGGCUAACUCCGUG
rnacentral:rRNA from 1 species